ACCACUUUAAAUCUUGUGUUUACCAGAGAUGGUCCUAGAAGUUUCUUUUAAAAUAAUACUAAUCGAGAUAAAGAAAUCUUUGUCGACCAAAGUGGCCGAUUAGUGGACUAAUCAACUAAGAAGGGGCAGCCCUCCCCAUGUUGUCAGAUACAUACUGAUGGACUCAGGGAUCCAUCUCUGUGCCACCUGAGCCUUCACAGAUGUACUUUAGCAUAAGCAAUCAUGCUUUUUUAAAGCAAACAAGGUAGCAGGAUUAUGGGCGGGUAGAAGACGGACUCAGCUCAGUCACCUCUUAGUAGGUAUGUAAACACAAGCUGUGUGCACAAGGUGAGGCUAAAGUAGACUUUCUUCCUGUUUCACCACACCCCAAACAGUCCGUUUAUCUUCGGCUAAAGUCAUUCAUUGUUUGUGCCUUAUUUUGGGUUGUGUGAACUGAUAAAAUGGUUAAACCAGCUCAGUUUUGUGUAUUUAACCGCACAUUCAAACUAAGGCUAUGUUCACACUUGGUGUCUUUUUUUGACAAGAACAAGUUUACUUUUUUUAUUCCGAAUAGCAGCCGAGAGCGUUUUUUUGUUGCUAUAACAACAGCUACUUCUACAGUAUCCAAGCUAGAGCGCUAUGUGGAGCGGUGCUAACGUUAGAUAAAACAAAGGGAGUUCCCUGUACACGGAGCACCCGGUCAUACCGUAUAACUCGCUGUGCUCCGACUCCAUUUUUUCUUGUUAAAGAAACGACAGGUCUGGCUACUCCGCUUGUCAUUGGUCGGCUGUCAAAGAAGCCCUUGACGUAGGGCGUUUAUUUAUUUAUUUUUUCAGAAAAGUUUAACUUUUUUCAACUUCAAAAAGACGCUCCGAGCUGCAGAAAAAGAAGUCGACAGUGUCAGGAUUUUUUUUGAAAACACGGUUUACUCCGUAGGAUUAUAACGUAAAACAAGACGCUGGCAGCUUGAAAAAA